CCCAGACUCCUACGGGAGGCAGCAGUGGGGGAUAUUGCACAAUGGGGGGAACCCUGAUGCAGCGACGCCGCGUGGGUGAAGGAGCGCCUCGGUGCGUAAAGCCCUAUCGGCAGGGAAGAAACAGACGGUACCUGACUAAGAAGCCCCGGCUAACUACGUGCCAGCAGCCGCGGUAAUACGUAGGGGGCAAGCGUUAUCCGGAUUCACUGGGUGUAAAGGGAGCAUAGACGGCGACGCAAGUCUGGAGUGAAAGCCCGGGGCCCAACCCCGGGACUGCUCUGGAAACUGCGUCGCUGGAGUACGGGAGGGGCAGGCGGAAUUCCUGGUGUAGCGGUGAAAUGCGUAGAUAUUAGGAGGAACACCAGUGGCGAAGGCGGCUUACUGGACUGUAACUGACGUUGAGGCUCGAAAGCGUGGGGAGCAAACAGGAUUAGAUACCCUGGUAACU
rnacentral:rRNA from 1 species